GAGGGUGUAGCUCAGUGGUAGAGCACGUGCUUUGCACGUAUGAGGUCCUGGGUUCAAUCCCCAGUGCCUCCA
rfam:Camelus ferus unplaced genomic scaffold scaffold204, whole genome shotgun sequence.